AAUAAUAAUACCUACCAUUUAUCGAGGGCUUACUAUGCAUCAGGAGCUAUGCUAUGUUCUGCAUAUACAUUAUCUUAACCGAUUAAAAAUGUGUUGAUGAUGUGGAUUCAUGAGAAGAGGGUAUGAAUUUUGUGGGAGUAUAUGUCUAGAAAGUUACCCGAGAAAAGAAUUAGCUGAAGAAAGGUUUCUUUAGAAUUCUACAUAUAAGGACUUUCCAUUAUAACAAUAGCACUUCUGAGGUGCAUCUUUCCAAGAUCAGCAAGGAGAGAAUAUUUGAAAUUGACUCUGAGCACUCUCCAUGGACUGCUGUGCAGGAGGCUCAUUCCACAUGCAUGAAUAGGAGGCUCUGGCAGUAAAAACAACCUUGGGAGGAACCCUUACUCAAAACUACCCACCAAAACUACAGCAAAAGACAUUUCUGCUUGGCUUGAGUCUGGAAUAUGUCAUCUGUUAUCAGAUCCUGAAAAUGUUGAGCAUUUGUGCAAAAGGAGUUCAGCUACGCGUGUAUGCACAUGCAGUGGUGCCUUUGGUCCCUUUUGACUGCAAGUUCCAAAUUUACCAAAGCAGAAUAUGUGGAGGCUUCCAACGUCUGUGCCGUUCUUGGUGCAUAGGAAGGAGUGAUCAACACAAGGGCAGAGGAGCAUUUUGGACAGUCUCACUCCCACCAAACUGACACUGAUUGCCCAUCUUGACUCAGGAGCAUUUGUUCCCGGGCUGAUACCUUUUCCUCAUGAGUGAGAUGCAGACCUGCAGUAAAGCAUCCUUUCACUUCUACUUCCUGGGACAUGAUCAUGGGGCCAGAACCCCUACAGGUUAUGGAGCUUGUGGUAAUGCUGAAGUAAGCAUGAUUCCCAGCAGCAACCUCACACCUCCCCUACUUCAUGGUCUUAUCUGCUGGAGGUCUCUGAAGCAUCCAUGGCUUUCCUGGUAUCUAGGUACCCUCCAAAAGCAAGACCUUCUAGAACAACUGGGUAUUUAUGUCUAAAUUGCUAGCCCAUAGGAAAUAUGUAAGAAGGGUCAGAAUGAUGUUUUGUUUUGUUUUUUUUUCCCUCUGUGUUCUUUAUGCAUAGUUGUGACCUGAAGUUGAAAUAUUAGAAGCCUUUUCUUUCUUGAGUCAUGACUCAUUCACUCCUCUUUCUGGGAACCCAGAGGGACUAGAUAGAUCCCACAACACAGGCCUUAUGGAC
rnacentral:lncRNA from 1 species